UAUGGCUCAGAUUGAACGCUGGCGGGAUGCUUUACACAUGCAAGUCGAACGGCAGCACGGACUUCGGUCUGGUGGUGAGGCGAACGGGUGAGUAAUGUAUCGGAACGUGCCUAGUAGCGGGGGAUAACUACGCGAAAGCGUAGCUAAUACCGCAUACACCUUCAAAGCGGGGGGACUCGGGCCUGCACUAUUAGAGCGGCCGAUAAUGAUUAGCUAGUUGGUGGGGUAACGGCUCACUAAGGCGACGAUCCAGCUGGCUCGAGAGACGACCAGCCACACUGGGACUGAGACACGGCCCAGACUCCAGCGGAGGCAGUGGGGAAUUUGGACAAUGGGGGAAACCUCGAUCCAGCCAUUCCGCGAAGAUGAAGGCCUUCGGUUAAAGCACUUUUGGCAGGGAAAGAAACGGCACGGAUAAUACCCCGCAACUGACGGUACCUGGCAGGACAAGCACCGGCUAACUACGUGCCAGCAGCCGCGGUAAUACGUAGGGUGCAAGCGUUAAUCGGAAUUACUGGGCGGAAGGUGCGUUGUGUUCGGAAAGGAAAGAUGUGAAAUCCCAGAGCUUAACUUUGGAACUGCAUUUUUUAACUACCGGUUUAGAGUGUGUCAGGAGGGAGGUGGAAUUCGCGUGUAGCAGUGAAAUGCGUAGAUAUGCGGAGGAACACCGAUGGCGAAGGCAGCCUCCUGGGAUAACACUCUGACGCUCAUGCACGAAAGCGUGGGGAGCAAACAGGAUUAGACAUCUUAGAAGUCCACGCCUAAACGAUGUCAACUAGCUGUUGGGGCCUUCGGGCCUAGUAGCGCAGCUAACGCGGAAGUUGACCGCCUGGGAGGUAAUGGUCGCAAGAUUAAACCCAGCGGAAUUGACGGGACCCGCACAAGCGGUGGAUGAUGUGGAUUAAUUCGAUGCAACGCGAAAACCUUACCUACCCUUGAUGUCUGGAAUCCCGAAGAGAUUUGGGAGUGCUCGCAAGAGAACCGGAACACAGGUGCUGCAUGGCUGUCGUCAGCUCGUGUCGAGAUGUUGGGUUAAGUCCCGUAACGAGCGCAACCUGUCAUUAGUUGCUACGAAAGGGCACCGACGAGACUGCCGGUGACAAACCGGAGGAAGGGGAUGACGUCAAGUCCUCAUGGCCCUUAUGGGUAGGGCUUCACACGUCAUACAAUGGUCGGGAGGGUCGCCAACCCGCGAGGGGAGUCAACUGCAGAAACCCGAUCGUAGUCCGGAUCGCAGUCUGCAACUCGACUGCGUGAAGUCGAAUCGCUAGUAAUCUGUGACCAGCAUGUCGCGUAAAUACGUUCCCGGGUCUUGUACACACCGCCCGUCACACCAAGGGGAGUGGGUUUUACUCAGAAUAGUUAGCUCAACCGUAAGGAGGGCGAUUACCACGGUAGGAUUCACACUGGGGUGAAGUCGUAACAAGGUAGC
rnacentral:rRNA from 1 species